UCACGCAAAAUAUUGAAGACCCUACCAAGGAGCUCCUCAUAUUCAUAAUCACGAUCACUCCCCUCCCAAGGAUAAAGCUGCUGUUCUUGGGCAUUUCCUUCUCCUCCUUCAUUCUCUCCAUCCAAAUCUUCUCCUGCAUCCCCACUUUCCUCAUUUAAAAUACCAGAUUCUACUGGUUUCUUCUUCUUCUUUUUUAAACCAGUAAAAGUACUCUCAACCCCAUCAGAGA
rnacentral:misc_RNA from 1 species